AAGAUCUGUGAGGGCAUAGACCUCCCACCCAGACCUCCCACUACUAUGUCAGAAUAUGCCUGACAUAGUAGAUACUCAAUUGACAUUUAUCGAAUUGAUGAAUGAGCACUACUUCUCCCCAAUCUGCUUUGACCAUGAUUUUGCUUGAUUGGAAAGUUCUAAUCGACAUGGACUCCUCGUGGACUUCAAAGGGUUGAAAGAUGAAAACAGAGGGAAGCCACUCAAACAGUGCUGGUCAUCACAUCUACCCAGGGGGCUCGUCUGAAGCAGGUACAGGUGAAAUCUGCCAAUGGUAGCUGGAUCCAAAGAUGGCAGUUCCCUCACUUGGAAACUGACUUCUUCUGACCGCUGGUGUUGUGAAAUGAUGUUGGCAAUUGACACAUUUUGUCACUUUCCAUCUGCUCCUUCCUCUCCCCACCUUCGUUGGUAUUUUUGGAAGAAUGGUUAAGUACAUCAACCUUCAAAAAAAAAAAGUAAUUAUUAAAUCUUUCUUGUCAUCAAGAUGUAGUGGGGUUGUGUGUCAUGCAUAACUCUUGGCAGUGUCUAAAUCUGGAUUU